rnacentral:sRNA from 1 species
ACUCCCCGCUGAGCCCAGUAGGCCACCAGGUGUGAAGUGGGCGCCUCUCCUGGCUCUGCCUCCGACUCUGGGGCCCCUCAUGCCACCCCACGCGUGCCGACCAGCUGGGCACUGUUGGCAGCGCCGCGUGCUGACCCUGGUGCCUGCCCAUAGACCAUGAACGAGUUUGAGUACCUGAAGCUGCUGGGCAAGGGCACUUUUGGCAAGGUGAUCCUGGUGAAGGAGAAGGCCACAGGCCGCUACUACGCCAUGAAGAUCCUCAAGAAGGAAGUCAUCGUGGCCAAGGUGGGGCCGGGGCAGUGGGGCAGGGUGGAGAUGAGGGUGCGGGGCGGCAGCUCACCCAGCCCUGCUUUACAGGACGAGGUGGCCCACACACUCACCGAGAACCGCGUCCUGCAGAACUCCAGGCACCCCUUCCUCACAGUGAGUGGGAGCCCAGAUGGGGCUGAAGGGCUGGGGCCAGGUAGCGACUCCUGGGGCUGUCUCUAGGGGACGAUGUCCUGUCUUCUUGGGCACGUGAGGGCUUUACACACCGCGGACUCCGCCGCUGGUGAGACAGGCCUGCCCUGGAGGGUCAGGCUGUGGAGGUGCCCAGUGUGGGCUAGGGGCUGUGCUCGCUGCUCCUGUGUGCGGGCAGGUGGGUGCGGCAGGUGGCCCUGGUCUU